rnacentral:rRNA from 2 species
GGCGAUCAGAUACCGCCCUAGUUCUAACCGUAAACGAUGACAACCAGCGAUUAAUCGGCGUUAAUUUAUGACCCGAUUAGCAGCUUCCGGGAAACCAAAGUUUUUCGUUUCCGGGGGAAGUAUGGUUGCAAAGCUGAAACUUAAAGGAAUUGACGGAAGGGCACCACCAGGAGUGGAGCCUGCGGCUUAAUUUGACUCAACACGGGAAAACUCACCCGGCCCGGACACCGUAAGGAUUGACAGACUGAGAGCUCUUUCUUAAUUCGGUGGGUGGUGGUGCAUGGCCGUUCUUAGUUGGUGGAGCGAUUUGUCUGGUUAAUUCCGAUAACGAACGAGACUCUGGCCUAUUAAAUAGGCGGCAUAUCAGAAAGUAUGUCGUACUUCUUAGAGGGACAAGCGGCUUCUAGCCGCAUGAAAUAGAGCAAUAACAGGUCUGUGAUGCCCUUAGAUGUCCGGGGCUGCACGCGCGCUACACUGAAAGAGUCAGCGAGCGAUUCACCUGGUUCGGAAGAACUGGGUAACCCAAGUAAAUUCUUUCGUGCUUGGGAUAGGGAAUUGCAAUUAUUUCCCUUAAACGAGGAAUUCCCAGUAAAUGCGGGUCAUAAGCUCGCGUUGAUUACGUCCCUGCCCUUUGUA